GUAAAUAAAUAUUUAAUUAUCAAUAAUUCAAAAGCUAAAUUGUGAUAUAAAUGUAUGCAUUCGUUUGUCAUAUGAUGAAUUUCAUGAUUUGUUAUCAUUUCAGAUGCAAUCUGAGCGUUGUUCUGAAUUUCAAAAUCCCCUUUGGCAACACCUGCACAGCUGAGGUAAUGUAAACUUAAAAACUGGGGACCACCGUCAUCAAUAAAAGAUUAUCAAUUUAACUAACCAAUCAAGGACCUUCUGACUAAGGGCUGAAUUAUAGUGAACACUGCCAUUCAGAGACUUUGAAACAGAUCGAUGAAUCAACCACAUGCAUUAUGUCAGAGGAAUUUAGCUGGAGCACCUAUUUAGCAGCCAUGACACAUAGAUGUACCUGUACAGUUGAUACAGAUAAUAUCAAUGGCACAUUUCUAAACGAUGGCCAAAAAAAUCCAAUAAAGACACUGUCAGUUAAAAACUUUUAGAAAGAAAUCCAGACCAGAAACAAAGGAUAUUGAUUUUUAAGCUCCUCCAAACGUAAAAGGGGUUUUAUUGAAACCAAGACCAGGAUACACCCAAGAAUUUUGAAUAUUAUACCCCUUCGACAUAAAAUUUUGAAUUUUAGUUUGCCUAUCUAGUCAAGAACAUGGAUUUUUUGAAAUUUGAUACACUUUAUAAAGUUAAAUUGACAUUUUUUCAAGGUUUCUUUACUGUAAACCAACUUUAAUUCGCAAACGAUAAAUAUUCAUUAGUUUCGCAAAUUAUGCCUAGGUCACAUUUAAGCCGAUGGUCUGGCAACUUAACUGUGGGCUGAAAGAACAUGAUCGACUGACACGAUUAUCCGGCGACAUUGAGCAGACACAUUAAUUUUCACCCUCAAAUUCAUAGAUGUUAUAUUUCAGCAAUAAGUACAUUUACGGAUGAUUUUUCAAAAAUUGCUUUAAAAAUACAAUUGAAAUAUUUAGAUCAUGUCUCAUGAAUGGUUAAUCACAGUUACCACAGAAACCAAAUACUUGUUUUAAAAAAGUUAGUUACAAAAAAAAAUGUUGUGUCUUUCAAUAUCUUAGCUAAUGGCCACUCAUACAGUUUUCUUCAUACAAGCUAAUCACAUUGGCUAAAUUGUAUAGGCAAAUACAAUAUUUUUGGAGAUGUUGCCAUGGUAACCAGAUACAAAUCACAAAAGCAUAUUUAAAAAAAUAUAUUUUCAUGCAUUUACAAUAA